GAUGAAGAACGCAGCGAAAUGCGAUAAGUAAUGUGAAUUGCAGAAUUCAGUGAAUCAUCGAAUCUUUGAACGCACAUUGCGCCCGCCAGUAUUCUGGCGGGCAUGCCUGUUCGAGCGUCAUUACAACCCUCAGGCCCCCGGGCCUGGCGUUGGGGAUCGGCGGAAGCCCCCUGUGGGCACACGCCGUCCCUCAAAUACAGUGGCGGUCCCGCCGCAGCUUCCAUUGCGUAGUAGCUAACACCUCGCAACUGGAGAGCGGCGCGGCCAUGCCGUAAAACACCCAACUUCUGAAUGUUGACCUCGGAUCAGGUAGGAAUACCCGCUGAACUUAAGCAUAUCAAUAAGCGGAGGA
rnacentral:misc_RNA from 1 species